UACGCUCAGACCCGGGAGAGGAGUGCUU
rnacentral:sRNA from 1 species